rnacentral:rRNA from 1 species
CCAAGGAGUCUAACAUGUAUGCGAGCCAUUGGGUUGACUAAACCUAGAGGCGCAGUGAAAGCAAAGAGUAGCCUGUCUGCUCGAGGGACGAUCCUCACGGCGCAGUCCCGCAACUUCCAAUCAACCUCGCAUUGUUGGGAGUAUGCAGAGCAUAAAUGUUGGGACCCGAAAGAUGGUGAACUAUGCCUGGCCAGGUUGAAGUCAGGGGAAACCCUGAUGGAGGACCGUAGCGAUUCUGACGUGCAAAUCGAUCGUCGGAGCUGGGUAUAGGGGCGAAAGACUAAUCGAACCAUC